UCCGAGUAGAGCGGCGCACGGGUGCGAAACACGUGGAUAAUCUGCCCUUGAAUUCGGGAUAACCUUCCGAAAGGUUGGCUAAUACCGGGUAAGCUCACGGUGACUUCGGUCGCUGUGGGAAAAGUAGACCUCUGUUUACAAGUUUACGUUUGAGGAUGAGUCCGCGGCCCAUCAGCUAGUUGGCGGGGUAAUGGCCCACCAAGGCUACGACGGGUAGCUGGUCUGAGAGGACGAUCAGCCACACUGGAACUGAGACACGGUCCAGACUCCUACGGGAGGCAGCAGUGGGGAAUUUUCCACAAUGGGCGAAAGCCUGAUGGAGCAACGCCGCGUGUGUGAUGAAGGUCUUCGGAUCGUAAAGCACUUUCGACCGGGACGAAAAACCUCUGGCUAACAUCCAGGGGCCUGACGGUACCGGGAGAAGAAGCACCGGCUAACUCUGUGCCAGCAGCCGCGGUAAUACAGAGGGUGCAAGCGUUGUUCGGAAUUAUUAGGCGUAAAGCGCGUGUAGGCGGCUUGGCAAGUCAGAUGUGAAAGCCCAUGGCUUAACCAUGGAAGUGCGUCUGAAACUGCUGAGCUUGAGUGCCGGAGAGGAUGGCGGAAUUCCGCAAGUAGAGGUGAAAUUCGUAGAUAUGCGGAGGAACACCGGUGGCGAAGGCGGCCAUCUGGACGGCAACUGACGCUGAGACGCGAAAGCGUGGGGAGCAAACAGGAUUAGAUACCCUGGUAGUCCACGCUGUAAACGAUGAGAACUAGGUGUCGUGGGUGUUGACCCCCGCGGUGCCGUAGCUAACGCAUUAAG
rnacentral:rRNA from 1 species